rnacentral:lncRNA from 1 species
ACUGGUGGCUCCUCCCAAGUACUGCAAAAGUAGAAAUGAAAAUGUAUCCCCAAUAAAAUCCUGUUAGGUGUUGGAACUAAAAUAUGAAUCUAAAAUAUAAAAAUAGCCUGUAUAACAGACGAACUGCGGCUCCUUUCCAACAAUGCCUCCUGCUAGGGCAACACAUAUAUUGGAAAUGAGAUUAUGGGAUAUAAUGCCAGGAAGUGGAUUCUGCCAGGAGUUCUUGGACUGAUGCAGUGAAGGAAAUGCUGUUCCCUCUCCCAGGCGCUGGCAUUUCCAGGACCCUCCCUUGUUCUGGGGAGUAGCGCCUGUGCACGGCUGUGCAGUCCCCUUGGCCCGGCUUGUGGUGGCACUCAGGCUAUCAUGCUGAGGAGAGGCCUGGCUCAUGAAGUGGAUGACCAGGGACUGAUGUCAUAUAAAUGGAAUCAUGUAACAUGUGGUCCCUUAGGAUGGGCUUCUCUUGUGUUAUAGCAUGAAUCAGUACUUCAUUUUCAUUGCUAAAUAACCGGAUACACCACAUUUGGUUAUCCAUUCAGCAAUUGAUAGACAUUUGGAUUGUCUCCACUUUUUGGCUAUUGUGAAUAAC